AGGUUCAUCCUCAUGACCAAUGAACAGGUUCAUCCACAUGACCAAUGAACAGGUUCAUCCUCAUGACCAAUGAACAGGUUCAUCCACAUGACCAAUGAACAGGUUCAUCCACAUGACCAAUGAACAGGUUCAUCCUCAUGACCAAUGAACAGGUUCAUCCACAUGACCAAUGAACAGGUUCAUCCUCAUGACCAAUGAACAGGUUCAUCCACAUGACCAAUGAACAGGUUCAUCCACAUGACCAAUGAACAGGUUCAUCCUCAUGACCAAUGAAC